rnacentral:rRNA from 1 species
UACGGAGGGUGCAAGCGUUAAUCGGAAUUACUGGGCGUAAAGCGCACGCAGGCGGUUCGUUGUGUCGGGUGUGAAAGCCCCGGGCUUAACCUGGGAAUGGCCGUUGAAACUGGCGAACUGGAGUGUGGCAGAGGGGGGUGGAAUUCCGCGUGUAGCAGUGAAAUGCGUAGAGAUGCGGAGGAACACCGAUGGCGAAGGCAGCCCCCUGGGCUAACACUGACGCUCAGGCACGAAAGCGUGGGUCGCGAAUGGG